UCAGGCUCAUCCUGGAGCCAGCUCUGCAGAGGGAACAUGGGGGGAGGCGACUCACACCAUGACCUGUGUGGAGGUGGCCAUGGUCGGGUGAACCAAUGAACCAAGACUCCUGAGUGUGUUAAGUCCAAAGAGCAGGACUCCGUGAAGGAAAGAGGGAAGAGCUGCAGCGGGGAGGCUGAACAGGAUUUUAACAACGGCUUGAAGAAACAAACUUACCAUGAAAAUGCAGGGCAGUCCAGCCUUGUGCAGACAAAGGAGAAAUGAGCCUCACUCGGGCAAACAGUGCUGGCGACCUCCUCUCCCUCCCUCCACCAAGGAAAACAAAAGAAGGGCAAGGCCCAGAGUGGACAGAGGCUUCUUCCCUGGGUCAGAGAAACACGAGGUCUCGGGGCCCAAAUCCCAGCGCUGCCUGGAGGAAAGGACCCAGCACCUCCCAGCAAAGGCCUCUGUCCACAGCUCCCUUAGUCUGGGGCAGGGAAAUCUGUCUGCACCUUGCCUUGGCUUCUUUCCCUGGGCCCUGGGGGACAACUGCC